rnacentral:rRNA from 1 species
CAAUAUAAAAAAAAAUAAAGUCCACGCAAUAUAACUCACCAUUUAGAAUAAACGUUGAUAAAUUUGUUUUUUGUGGUUAAUGUUUGGAAGUAAAAGUCGUAACAAGGUUUCCGUAGGUGAACCUGCGGAAGGAUCAUUACUGAGCGCGAGGCCCCGCAGCGCGCACGCGCUGCGGCGGUUGACCCUCCACCCGUGUGAACUCUUAUCUGUUGCUUUGGCGGGCCGGGCUCGACCUGCCGGCUCCGGCUGGCGAGUGCCCGUCAGAGAAGCCCCAACUCGUGCUGUGAGUGUUGUCUGAGGAAAUGUGGAAUUAGUAAAACUUUCAACAACGGAUCUCUUGGCUCUGGCAUCGAUGAAGAACGCAGCGAAAUGCGAUAAGUAAUGUGAAUUGCAGAAUUUAGUGAAUCAUCGAAUCUUUGAACGCACAUUGCGCCCCCCGGCAUUCCGAGGGGCAUGCCUGUUCGAGCGUCAGAACACCCCUCAAGCCUAGCUUGGUCUUGGGGCUCGCCGGCUCGGCGGCCCCUAAACGCAGUGGCGGUGCUGGUGUGCUCUCCGCGUAGUCAUGUAUCUCGCGACAGAGUGGCGACGGCACCCGCCAGAACCCCAGUCUUUGGAUGACCUCGGAUCAGGUAGGGAUACCCGCUGAACUUAAGCAUAUCAAUAAGCGGAGGAA